rnacentral:rRNA from 1 species
GGCUCAGAUUGAACGCUGGCGGCAUGCCUUACACAUGCAAGUCGAGCGGUAACAGGCCGCAAGGUGCUGACGAGUGGCGAACGGGUGAGUAAUACAUCGGAACGUGCCCGAGAGUGGGGGAUAACGGAGCGAAAGCUUUGCUAAUACCGCAUACGAUCUACGGAUGAAAGCAGGGGACCGCAAGGCCUUGCGCUCAUGGAGCGGCCGAUGGCAGAUUAGGUAGUUGGUGGGAUAAAAGCUUACCAAGCCGACGAUCUGUAGCUGGUCUGAGAGGACGACCAGCCACACUGGGACUGAGACACGGCCCAGACUCCUACGGGAGGCAGCAGCGGGGAAUUUUGGACAAUGGGCGAAAGCCUGAUCCAGCCAUGCCGCGUGCAGGAUGAAGGCCUUCGGGUUGUAAACUGCUUUUGUACCGGAACGAAAACGACUCUGGUUAAUACCGUUGGGUCCAUGACGGUACCGUAAGAAUAAGCACCGGUCUAACUACGUG